UGGGGGAGUAUUGCACAAUGGGGGGAACCCGUGAUGCAGCGACGCCGCGUGGGUGAAGAAGCGCCUCGGCGCGUAAAGCCCUGUCAGCAGGGAAGAAAAUGACGGUACCUG
rnacentral:rRNA from 1 species